rnacentral:misc_RNA from 1 species
AACACUGUUAACCUGCGGUACCUGCGGAAGGAUCAUUACGAGAGUGUCACCACUCCCAACCCAUUGUUUACCUACCCGUCCACCGUGCUUCGGCAGGCAGCCCUGUGGGACAGAGCCUCGCCCCCCUCCGCGGGGGGUGCCUGCCGCUGGCCAACCAACAACUCUAGCUGUUUUAGUACCAUCUGAGUCUUCCACAAAUGAACAAAACUUUCAACAAUGGAUCUCAGAUCGGAAGAGCAC